rnacentral:rRNA from 1 species
AGUGAACGCUGGCGGUAGGCCUAACACAUGCAAGUCGAACGGCAGCACAGUAAGAGCUUGCUCUUACGGGUGGCGAGUGGCGGACGGGUGAGGAAUACAUCGGAAUCUACUUUUUCGUGGGGGAUAACGUAGGGAAACUUACGCUAAUACCGCAUACGACCUACGGGUGAAAGCAGGGGAUCUUCGGACCUUGCGCGAUUGAAUGAGCCGAUGUCGGAUUAGCUAGUUGGCGGGGUAAAGGCCCACCAAGGCGACGAUCCGUAGCUGGUCUGAGAGGAUGAUCAGCGACACUGGAACUGAGACACGGUCCAGACUCCUACGGGAGGCAGCAGUGGGGAAUAUUGGACAAUGGGCGCAAGCCUGAUCCAGCCAUACCGCGGGGGUGAAGAAGGCCUUCGGGUUGUAAAGCCCUUUUGUUGGGAAAGAAAAGCAGCAGGUUAAUACCCCGCUGUUCUGACGGUACCCAAAGAAUAAGCACCGGCUAACUUCGU